GUUAGGAUGGCAGAGCCCGGAAUUGCAAAAGGUCUAAGCCCUUUCAACGGGGGUUCAAAUCCUCUUCCUAACU
rnacentral:tRNA from 1 species